GACGAAUCGUGCGAACGUUGUUCGGAAUCACUGGGCUUAAAGGGCGCGUAGGCGGGCUAUCAAGUCUGGGGUGAAAUCCCACGGCUCAACCGUGGAACUGCCUUAGAUACUGACGGCCUUGAGGAAGGUAGGGGCAUGCGGAACUGUAGGUGGAGCGGUGAAAUGCGUUGAUAUCUACAGGAACUCCGGUGGCGAAAGCGGCGUGCUGGACCUUUUCUGACGCUGAGGCGCGAAAGCUAGGGGAGCAAACGGG
rnacentral:rRNA from 1 species